UACGGAGGGUGCGAGCGUUGCUCGGAAUCACUGGGCGUAAAGCGCACGUAGGCGGAUUGUUAAGUCAGGGGUGAAAUCCUGGAGCUCAACUCCAGAACUGCCUUUGAUACUGGCGAUCUCGAGUCCGGGAGAGGUGAGUGGAACUGCGAGUGUAGAGGUGAAAUUCGUAGAUAUUCGCAAGAACACCAGUGGCGAAGGCGGCUCACUGGCCCGGUACUGACGCUGAGGAGCGAAAGCGUGGGUAGCAAACAGG
rnacentral:rRNA from 1 species